ensembl:lncRNA GBA1LP glucosylceramidase beta 1 like, pseudogene
AGUCCCGCCCACGCGCCUUUGGAGGCUGCGGUGGGAUUUCCUUUUGCCUUCGGUUGGGGCUGCUGUUUCUCUUCGCCGACGUGGAUCCUCUAUCCUUCAGAGACUCUGGAACCCCUGUGCUCUUCUCCUCAUCUAGUGACCCUGAGGUGAUGGAGUUUUCAAGUCCUUCCAGAGAGGAAUGUCCCAAGCCUUCGGGUAGGGUAAGCAUCAUGGCUGGCAGCCUCACAGGAUUGCUUCUACUUCAGGCAGUGUCGUGGGCAUCAGAUGAGUGAGUCAAGGCAGUGGGGAGGUAGCACAGAGCCUCCCUUCUGCCUCAUAGUCCUUUGGUAGCCUUCCAGUAAGCUGGUGGUAGACUUUUAGUAGGUGCUCAAUAAAUCCUUUUGAGUGACUGAGACCAACUUUGGGGUGAGGAUUUUUGAAACCGUCUUCAGUCUCUCCAAACAGCUGUGUCCGUUCUCCACAUCCUUGUCAGACCUCACCUCUGCUUGUGCUCCCUCCCUCCCAGGUGGUGCCCCUGCAUCCCUAAAAGCUUCAGUACAGCUCGGUGGUCUGUGUCUGCAAUGCCACAUACUGUGACUCUUGACCCCCCGACCUUUCCUGCCCUAGGUGCCUUCAGCCGCUACAAGAGCAGAAGCAGUGGGCAUUGGAUGGAGCUGAGUACAGGACCAUACAGGCUAAUUGCACCGGCACAGGAAUCGGAUAUAACAUCAUCUGGGUACCCAUGGCCAGCUGUGACUUCUCCAUCCGCACCUACACCUAUGCAGACACCCCUGAUGAUUUCCAGUUGCACAACUUCAGCCUCCCAGAGGAAGAUACCAAGCUCAAGAUACCCCUGAUUCACCGAGCCCUGCAGUUGGCCCAGCGUCCCGUUUCACUCCUUGCCAGCCCCUGGACAUCACCCACUCGGCUCAAGACCAGGGGAGCGGGGAAUGGGAAGGGGCCACUCAAGGGACAGCCCAGAGACAUCUACCACCAGACCUGGGCCAGAUACAUUGUGAAGUUCCUGGAUGCCUAUGCUGAGCACAAGUUACAGUUCUGGGCAGUGACAGCUGAAAAUGAGCCUUCUGCUGGGCUGUUGAGUGGAUACCCCUUCCAGUGCCUGGGCUUCACCCCUGAACAUCAGCGAGACUUCAUUGCCCGUGACCUAGGUCCUACCCUUGCCAACGGUACUCACCACAAUGUCCGCCUACUCAUGCUGGAUGACCAACGCUUGCUGCUGCCCCACUGGGCAAAGGUGGUACUGACAGACCCAGAAGCAGCUAAGUAUGUUCAUGGUAUUGCUGUACAUUGGUACCUGGACUUUCUGGCUCCAGCCAAAGCCACCCUAAGGGAGACACACCACCUGUUCCCCAACACCAUGCUCUUUGCCUCAGAGGCCUGUGUGGGUUCCAAGUUCUGGGAGCAGAGUGUGCGGCUAGGCUCCUGGGAUCGAGGGAUGCAGUACAGCCACAGCAUCAUCACAGUCUGCACACCUCAUUGCCCCUUUUGCAACUACUGAGGCACUUGCAGCUGCCUCAGACUUCUCAGCUCCCCUUGAGAUGCCUGGAUCUUCACACCCCCAACUCCUUAGCUACUAAGGAAUGUGCCCCUCACAGGGCUGACCUACCCACAGCUGCCUCUCCCACACGUGACCCUUACCUACACUCUCUGGGGACCCCCAGUGUUGCGCCUUUGUCUCCUUGCCUUUGUCCUUACCCUAGAACCUCCUGUACCAUGUGGUCGGCUGGACCGACUGGAACCCAUCAUUGUAGACAUCACCAAGCACACGUUUUACAAACAGCCCAUGUUCUACCACCUUGGCCACUUCAGCAAGUUCAUUCCUGAGGGCUCCCAGAGAGUGGGGCUGGUUGCCAGUCAGAAGAACGACCCGGACGCAGUGGCACUGAUGCAUCCCGAUGGCUCUGCUGUUGUGGUCGUGCUAAACCGCUCCUCUAAGGAUGUGCCUCUUACCAUCAAGGAUCCUGCUGUGGGCUUCCUGGAGACAAUCUCACCUGGCUACUCCAUUCACACCUACCUGUGGCGUCGCCAGUGAUGGAGCAGAUACUCAAGGAGGCACUGGGCUCAGCCUGGGCAUUAAAGGGACAGAGUCAGCUCACACGCUGUCUGUGACUAAAGAGGGCACAGCAGGGCCAGUGUGAGCUUACAGCGACGUAAGCCCAGGGGCAAUGGUUUGGGUGACUCACUUUCCCCUCUAGGUGGUGCCAGGGGCUGGAGGCCCCUAGAAAAAGAUCAGUAAGCCCCAGUGUCCCCCCAGCCCCCAUGCUUAUGUGAACAUGCGCUGUGUGCUGCUUGCUUUGGAAACUGGGCCUGGGUCCAGGCCUAGGGUGAGCUCACUGUCCGUACAAACACAAGAUCAGGGCUGAGGGUAAGGAAAAGAAGAGACUAGGAAAGCUGGGCCCAAAACUGGAGACUGUUUGUCUUUCCUGGAGAUGCAGAACUGGGCCCGUGGAGCAGCAGUGUCAGCAUCAGGGCGGAAGCCUUAAAGCAGCAGCGGGUGUGCCCAGGCACCCAGAUGAUUCCUAUGGCACCAGCCAGGAAAAAUGGCAGCUCUUAAAGGAGAAAAUGUUUGAGCCCA